AACUGUUGGGGAUCAGCGGCCCAGUGGUUCAAUUCCUCCUUGC
rnacentral:tRNA from 1 species